rnacentral:RNase_P_RNA from 1 species
GGGGCCUGGUCGUCGCUCCGUGUUCUUUGAUCCCAAGGCGCGGGUAACGCCGCGUCCGCACAAGAACGUCGCGGGCGCGAACCUCACGGUUCGCCGCUCGCACGGAGAGGAAAGUCCGGACACCGCAGGGCAGGAUGCCGCGCAAGCUUCACCGCAAGCGCGGGCGACGCGCGUCAAGGCGCGUCGACGGACAGUGUCACAGAAAACAGACCGCUGCGUCGCAAGGCGCAGUAAGGGUGAAAAGGUGGGGCAAGAGCCCACCGCGCCGACGGUGACGUCGGCGGCACGAAAAACCCCGUCCGGUGCAAGGCAAAAUAGGUGGCUGGGCGGCCCGUCCCAUAGCCACGGGUAUGCCGCACCUCGCCUCUGUCCCGGCGCGCAAGCGUCGGGCGGAAGGCGGGGCAGGAUCGCCGCAAGGCGGUGCUGAGAGAAAUGACGAUCCGUCCCGCGCAAGCGGGAGUGACAAAAUCCGGCUUACCGGCCCCGAAGCUAA